GGCUCAGGAUGAACGCUGGCGGCGUGCUUAACACAUGCAAGUCGAACGAGCCUUCGGGCUAGUGGCGGACGGGUGAGUAACGCGUGGGAAUCUGCCCUCAGGAGGGGGAUAACGGCCGGAAACGGCCGCUAAUACCCCAUAUGCCGAGAGGUGAAAUGAAUUUCGCCUGAGGAUGAGCCCGCGUCUGAUUAGCUAGUUGGUGGGGUAAUGGCCCACCAAGGCGACGAUCAGUAGCUGGUCUGAGAGGAUGAUCAGCCACACUGGGACUGAGACACGGCCCAGACUCCUACGGGAGGCAGCAGUGGGGAAUUUUCCGCAAUGGGCGAAAGCCUGACGGAGCAACGCCGCGUGAGGGAUGAAGGCCUCUGGGCUGUAAACCUCUUUUCUCAAGGAAGAAGACAUGACGGUACUUGAGGAAUAAGCCACGGCUAAUUCCGUGCCAGCAGCCGCGGUAAUACGGGAGUGGCAAGCGUUAUCCGGAAUUAUUGGGCGUAAAGCGUCCGCAGGCGGCCUUGUAAGUCUGUCGUUAAAGCGUGGAGCUUAACUCCAUUUCAGCGAUGGAAACUACAAGGCUUGAGUGUGGUAGGGGCAGAGGGAAUUCCCGGUGUAGCGGUGAAAUGCGUAGAUAUCGGGAAGAACACCAGUGGCGAAGGCGCUCUGCUGGGCCAUAACUGACGCUCAUGGACGAAAGCCAGGGGAGCGAAAGGGAUUAGAUACCCCUGUAGUCCUGGCCGUAAACGAUGAACACUAGGUGUCGGGGGAAUCGACCCCCUCGGUGUCGUAGCUAACGCGUUAA
rnacentral:rRNA from 1 species